GAGGGUACAGCUCAAGUGGUAGAGCGCAUGCCUAGCAUGCACAAGGUCCUGGGUUCAAUCCCCAGUACCUCCU
rnacentral:tRNA from 1 species